UUGAACGCUGGCGGCAGGCCUAACACAUGCAAGUCGAGCGGUAGCACAGAGAGCUUGCUCUCGGGUGACGAGCGGCGGACGGGUGAGUAAUGUCUGGGAAACUGCCUGAUGGAGGGGGAUAACUACUGGAAACGGUAGCUAAUACCGCAUAACGUCGCAAGACCAAAGUGGGGGACCUUCGGGCCUCAUGCCAUCAGAUGUGCCCAGAUGGGAUUAGCUAGUAGGUGGGGUAACGGCUCACCUAGGCGACGAUCCCUAGCUGGUCUGAGAGGAUGACCAGCCACACUGGAACUGAGACACGGUCCAGACUCCUACGGGAGGCAGCAGUGGGGAAUAUUGCACAAUGGGCGCAAGCCUGAUGCAGCCAUGCCGCGUGUGUGAAGAAGGCCUUCGGGUUGUAAAGCACUUUCAGCGGGGAGGAAGGCGAUAAGGUUAAUAACCUUGUCGAUUGACGUUACCCGCAGAAGAAGCACCGGCUAACUCCGUGCCAGCAGCCGCGGUAAUACGGAGGGUGCAAGCGUUAAUCGGAAUUACUGGGCGUAAAGCGCACGCAGGCGGUCUGUCAAGUCGGAUGUGAAAUCCCCGGGCUCAACCUGGGAACUGCAUUCGAAACUGGCAGGCUAGAGUCUUGUAGAGGGGGGUAGAAUUCCAGGUGUAGCGGUGAAAUGCGUAGAGAUCUGGAGGAAUACCGGUGGCGAAGGCGGCCCCCUGGACAAAGACUGACGCUCAGGUGCGAAAGCGUGGGGAGCAAACAGGAUUAGAUACCCUGGUAGUCCACGCCGUAAACGAUGUCGAUUUGGAGGUUGUGCCCUUGAGGCGUGGCUUCCGGAGCUAACGCGUUAAAUCGACCGCCUGGGGAGUACGGCCGCAAGGUUAAAACUCAAAUGAAUUCACGGGGGCCCGCACAAGCGGUGGAGCAUGUGGUUUAAUUCGAUGCAACGCGAAGAACCUUACCUGGUCUUGACAUCCACAGAACUUUCCAGAGAUGGAUUGGUGCCUUCGGGAACUGUGAGACAGGUGCUGCAUGGCUGUCGUCAGCUCGUGUUGUGAAAUGUUGGGUUAAGUCCCGCAACGAGCGCAACCCUUAUCCUUUGUUGCCAGCGGUUAGGCCGGGAACUCAAAGGAGACUGCCAGUGAUAAACUGGAGGAAGGUGGGGAUGACGUCAAGUCAUCAUGGCCCUUACGACCAGGGCUACACACGUGCUACAAUGGCAUAUACAAAGAGAAGCGACCUCGCGAGAGCAAGCGGACCUCAUAAAGUAUGUCGUAGUCCGGAUUGGAGUCUGCAACUCGACUCCAUGAAGUCGGAAUCGCUAGUAAUCGUAGAUCAGAAUGCUACGGUGAAUACGUUCCCGGGCCUUGUACACACCGCCCGUCACACCAUGGGAGUGGGUUGCAAAAGAAGUAGGUAGCUUAACCUUCGGGAGGGCGCUUACCACUUUGUGAUUCAUGACUGGGGUG
rnacentral:rRNA from 1 species